rnacentral:rRNA from 1 species
UACGAGAGGCCCAAACGUUAUUCGGAAUUACUGGGCUUAAAGAGUUCGUAGGCGGCGCAACAAGUGGGGUGUGAAAGCCCUCGGCUCAACCGAGGAAUUGCGCUCCAAACUGUUGUGCUUGAGGGACCUAGAGGUGAGCGGAACUGAUGGUGGAGCGGUGAAAUGCGUUGAUAUCAUCAGGAACACCGGAGGCGAAGGCGGCUCACUGGGGGUCGUCUGACGCUGAGGAACGAAAGCCAGGGGAGCGAACGGG